UUUCCAAGGGAAAACUAUUUGGCUGUCACUCUUCCUUGCAGCUGCAUUGUGCAAAUAGAAACCCUGCCACAUCCAACAAGAAAAAAGCCACAAACGAACACCAGACACCUGUGCAGUAUCGUAACGACAAACACAGCCAGGACUGUAUUCUGCCUAUAGGAAAUAAUAAACAGACCCUGAUGUGAUUAAGCAUGAAAGACUCCAGAGCAACAGUAAAACAAGAACUCUGAAGAAAGUGUACUCAGGUGAAAGAGCAUGAGAGAGGGAAAUAUUCUUGAACAUGUAAUAAAUAACACACACCACCACUUGUCAAAAAAAAACCCUUUAAUUUUAAUAAAAGCACAGCAUCAUCAAUCUCACACAUCAGAAGUUACAGAGUGACAUGUAACGCAUUCAAAUGGCCCUAUGGUAAGAUCCGAUACCACCGGAUCAUUUGAGUUUCCACAAUUGCUAUGCUUUAUAUAAAACUAUUUUCCAAUUUCGCAUUUAAUGACAGUUAUGUAUUUAACACAAAUUAUUUCCAUAUUGUAAGUUUCAAACAACAGGACAGAAUGGGUUUGACACAGUAACAAGUAUCUUUUUUCUCCUUGCAGAGAAGGAAAAUGUAAUACAUUAUACCAAAAAUACUUUCACAAAUAAUUCCAGCAAGUAGCAAUACAAUAACAACAUUAACCUGAUUUGAUAUAAUGAAUUCCACUGUUCUAUAUAUUGAUCUGCCUCUAAGGAGCCUAAGUUCUCACAUUCUUUACUCUGACAACUAGGUAAUAUUUGCUCAUUGUAAAAUCAACUUAGUUUUCAUAAUCACUUUUGGGUAUUUGUGAACCUAGCACAUGGUAGAUGAGAGAGGAGGUAAAAAGAUGUUAAUUUAUUUCUUUUUGUGGUUGUGUGUGGCUUAUUUUAACACAGAAUUAAUUAUGCACACCUUUCAUUUUCAUUCUCUACAAGUCAUGAAUCAUCUCUAUCAUACUGUAUUGCUUAGUUCACACUUUUGGGUUACUAACCAAAAAUUGCUGUGCAAGGCUUCAAAGCCAAUAAUCUGCUCAUUUCUACUGCUGAGGGUAAUAAAAGCUGAUAAGUUGCUAUUUGAUCAGACUACCAAAGCUUAAGAUUUCAGAAUUAUAAUCAGAAAACAUUUACCCUUUACAACAUUCUUAUUAAACUUACAAGCCAUUGCACUUUUUAUACUAAAGACAGAUACUUUAGGUAUUGCCACACCCUGCUUCCAUUAAAGAGUCAGGGCACAUAACCACUGCCUGCUAAGAGUUACCAAGAACUUAAUCCUGAGGUAUACAUAGAGUUUAUAUAAACACAAGUCAUAUUCUAUAGCACAUUCAAUAUAUGUAACAAAAUAGAACAAUGGCUCAAACAAGUGAAUGUAUUAGUGUGCAAAGAAAUUUAUUAACAGAAAUUGGAAACUCAGCAUAUCUUUGCCAUUGUAAUACAAGCAAUGCUUUCCAUUCCACAGUCAGCUGAGCCAUACUGUAGUACUUUGCCAUAAAGAUCUAAACUAAACUGGUAUUAAA